CCUACGGGAGGCAGCAGUGGGGAAUAUUGCACAAUGGGGGGAACCCUGAUGCAGCAACGCCGCGUGGGUGAAGAAGUACUCCGGUAUGUAAAGCCCUGUCAGCAGGGAAGAAAAUGACGGUACCUGACCAAGAAGCCCCGGCUAACUACGUGCCAGCAGCCGCGGUACUACGUCGGGGGCAAGCGUUAUCCGGAUUUACUGGGUGUAAAGGGAGCGUAGACGGCGAUGCAAGCCAGGAGUGAAAGCCCGGGGCCCAACCCCGGGACUGCUCUUGGAACUGCGUGGCUGGAGUGCAGGAGGGGCAGGCGGAAUUCCUGGUGUAGCGGUGAAAUGCGUAGAUAUCAGGCGGAACACCGGUGGCGAAGGCGGCCUGCUGGACUGCAACUGACGUUGAGGCCCGAAAGCGUGGGGAGCAAACAGGAUUAGAUACCCCUGUAGUC
rnacentral:rRNA from 1 species